rnacentral:rRNA from 1 species
CCUACGGGAGGCUGCAGUGGGGAAUAUUGGACAAUGGGGGCAACCCUGAUCCAGCCAUGCCGCGUGUGUGAAGAAGGCCCUCGGGUUGUAAAGCACUUUCAGUGAGGAAGAACGCCUGGUGGUUAAUACCCAUCAGGAAAGACAUCACUCACAGAAGAAGCACCGGCUAACUCCGUGCCAGCAGCCGCGGUAAUACGGAGGGUGCGAGCGUUAAUCGGAAUUACUGGGCGUAAAGCGCGCGUAGGUGGCUUGAUAAGCCGGUUGUGAAAGCCCCGGGCUCAACCUGGGAACGGCAUCCGGAACUGUCAAGCUAGAGUGCAGGAGAGGAAGGUAGAAUUCCCGGUGUAGCGGUGAAAUGCGUAGAGAUCGGGAGGAAUACCAGUGGCGAAGGCGGCCUUCUGGACUGACACUGACACUGAGGUGCGAAAGCGUGGGUAGCAAACAGGAUUAGAUACACCGGUAGUC